AGCUUAAACGAUGAUUGUCUUUUUGAUGGCUAAAAGCAAUGUGAAAAACAUUUUGUCAGUUCUGAAAGUU